UGAAAGUAGAAGACAUCUCCGUUUCUCUCUCACGCACACCACUCAACCCAUAAAAAGUCUGCACCAUGGUAACCCAAAAUCUACAGCAAAGAAACUUGAACGGGGAUGUGGAGAAUUUCACCUCUGUGAAAAUGGAGAUGUGAGAGAAAUCAUUCCAGUCCCGUAUAAGCCUUUCAUUAAACUUUGGGAUCACUCCUCAAGAAGACCUCCCACCAGGCUUAUUACUGAAGAAGUCCAUGUUACUGUUGCUCAUGUUGCUACUUUUUGGGGAGAUAUUUUUUUAAAAAAUUCUUCACACUCACCCAUAUCUAAGGUCAUUUCCCCACUUACCUGCUGCUGCACGCUACUCUCCCCAAGUAGCGCAGGGUCCCCCGG